AGGAUCAUUUUGCAGCUAUGAGCUGCAUGAUUUUUGUCCUUGAACAGGAAGAUUCUUCUGGCUGCUGAGGACCACAAGUGGGCUUGGCAGGCUGGAGGGAGCAGGACUUCUCAGGAGAAAGCAGGAUGAAAUCCUUCAGUCCAUUUUGGGCGUGUGGCGUGGUCCUAAGGGCUCCAAGAGCAACAGAAAUGAGGCAGGAGACUGUAUGGAAUCACUAGGUCUAAGUUACUCACCUCUACUCUAGUGUAUGGCAGAUGAGAAGAAGUAUAGAAAACCAAGACUCUUCCAGAAAUCUGGUUAUGUUGAUAAUUUCAACCAUGAUUUGUCAUUCCUCUGAAAUGGCUUUCUCAGGUAUCAUAUGGAAAUCUCCAAAGCUAUUUUGUUCCAAGAGGCAAGUACAAAAAAAAAAAAAAGCUGGAUAGUAACAACAAAAAGGAAUACAAAUAAAUAUAGCAGUAGCAAAGAAAAAGAAAAGAUUAAACGUAUUGUCCUUUUCUUUAUUAAAGUCAAGAUUUGUACUCUGUU